rnacentral:rRNA from 1 species
GACGAACGCUGGCGGCGUGCUUAACACAUGCAAGUCGAACGGAAAGGCCCUGCUUGCAGGGUACUCGAGUGGCGAACGGGUGAGUAACACGUGGGUGAUCUGCCCUGCACUUCGGGAUAAGCUUGGGAAACUGGGUCUAAUACCGGAUAGGAGCCAUCUUUAGUGUGGUGGUUGGAAAGUUUUUUCGGUGUAGGAUGAGCUCGCGGCCUAUCAGCUUGUUGGUGGGGUAAUGGCCUACCAAGGCGGCGACGGGUAGCCGGCCUGAGAGGGUGUACGGCCACAUUGGGACUGAGAUACGGCCCAGACUCCUACGGGAGGCAGCAGUGGGGAAUAUUGCACAAUGGGCGCAAGCCUGAUGCAGCGACGCCGCGUGGGGGAUGAAGGCCUUCGGGUUGUAAACUCCUUUCGCUAGGGACGAAGCUUUGUUGUGACGGUACCUAGAUAAGAAGCACCGGCUAACUACGUGC